rnacentral:rRNA from 1 species
AACAAACGCUGGCGGCGUGCCUAAUACAUGCAAGUCGAACGGGGAAAGCUUUCGGGUGAGUACUAGUGGCGCACGGGUGAGUAACGCGUGGAUAAUCUGCCUUAGAGUGGGGGAUAACUAGUCGAAAGAUUAGCUAAUACCGCAUAAGACCACAAGAACUGCGGUUCAAGGGGUCAAAGGUUUUUCGCUCUAAGAUGAGUCCGCGUAAGAUUAGCUAGUUGGUAGGGUAACGGCCUAACAAGGCGACGAUCUUUAACUGGUCUGAGAGGAUGAUCAGUCACACUGGAACUGAGACACGGUCCAGACUCCUACGGGAGGCAGCAGUAGGGAAUAUUGCACAAUGGAGGAAACUCGGAUGCAGCGACGCCGCGUGAGUGAUGAAGGCCUUCGGGUCGUAAAGCUCUGUCGCAGGGGAAUAACACAAUGAAGGUACCCUGUAAGAAAGGAUCGGCUAACUUCGUGCCAGCCGCCGCCGUAAUAC